UACGUAGGAUGCAAGCGUUGUCCGGAAUUAUUGGGCGUAAAGCGCGCGCAGGCGGUCCUUUAAGUCUGAUGUGAAAGCCCACGGCUCAACCGUGGAGGGUCAUUGGAGACUGGGGGACUUGAGUACAGAAGAGAAGAGUGGAAUUCCACGUGUAGCGGUGAAAUGCGUAGAGAUGUGGAGGAACACCAGUGGCGAAGGCGACUCUUUGGUCUGUAACUGACGCUGAGGCGCGAAAGCGUGGGGAGCAAACAGG
rnacentral:rRNA from 1 species